AGAGUUUGAUCCUGGCUCAGGAUGAACGCUGGCGGCGUGCCUAACACAUGCAAGUCGAACGGGGUUAUUUUGAUGAAGUCUUCGGAUGGAAUUGAGAUAACCUAGUGGCGGACGGGUGAGUAACGCGUGGGCAACCUGCCCCAUACAGGGGGAUAACAGCCGGAAACGGCUGCUAAAACCGCAUAAGCGCACACCGGCGCAUGCCGGAGUGUGAAAAUGUAUAUCGAAAGAUAUGCAGGUAUGGGAUGGGCCCGCGUCUGAUUAGCUGGUUGGUGAGGUAACGGCCCACCAAGGCGACGAUCAGUAGCCGGCUUGAGAGAGUGACCGGCCACAUUGGGACUGAGACACGGCCCAAACUCCUACGGGAGGCAGCAGUGGGGAAUAUUGCACAAUGGGGGAAACCCUGAUGCAGCGACGCCGCGUGAGUGAAGAAGUACUUCGGUACGUAAAGCUCUAUCAGCAGGGACGAAGAUGACGGUACCUGACUAAGAAGCCCCGGCUAACUACGUGCCAGCAGCCGCGGUAAUACGUAGGGGGCGAGCGUUAUCCGGAUUUACUGGGUGUAAAGGGAGCGUAGGUGGCGAAGCAAGUCAGAUGUGAAAGCCCGGGGCUUAACUCCGGGACUGCAUUUGAAACUGUUUUGCUAGAGUGCAGGAGAGGUAAGUGGAAUUCCUAGUGUAGCGGUGAAAUGCGUAGAUAUUAGGAGGAACACCAGUGGCGAAGGCGGCUUACUGGACUGUAACUGACACUGAGGCUCGAAAGCGUGGGGAGCAAACAGGAUUAGAUACCCUGGUAGUCCACGCUGUAAACGAUGAAUACUGGUGUUGGGGGAGCGUAAGCUCUUCGGUGCCGUCGCAAACGCAUUAAGUAUUCCACCUGGGGAGUACGUUCGCAAGAAUGAAACUUAAAGGAAUUGACGG
rnacentral:rRNA from 1 species